rnacentral:rRNA from 1 species
GACGAACGCUGGCGGCGUGCUUAACACAUGCAAGUCGAACGGAAAGGCCCCUUUGGGGGUACUCGAGUGGCGAACGGGUGAGUAACACGUGAGUAACCUGCCCUUGACUUCGGGAUAACUUCAGGAAACUGGGGCUAAUACCGGAUAGGAAUCCUUGCUGCAUGGUGGGGGUUGGAAAGCUUCGGCGGUUUUGGAUGGACUCGCGGCUUAUCAGCUUGUUGGUGGGGUAGUGGCUUACCAAGGCUGUGACGGGUAGCCGGCCUGAGAGGGCGACCGGCCACAUUGGGACUGAGGUACGGCCGAGACUCCUACGGGAGGCAGCAGUGGGGAAUAUUGCACAAUGGGCGGAAGCCUGAUGCAGCAACUCCGCGUGCGGGAUGACUGCCUUCGGGUUGUAAACCGCUUUCAGCAGGGGCGAAGCUUGUGGUGACGGUACCUGCAGAAGAAGCACCGGCUAACUACGU